UACGUAGGUGGCAAGCGUUGUUCGGAAUUAUUGGGCGUAAAGGGCGCGUAGGCGGUUUUUUAAGUCAGUUGUGAAAUCCCGGGGCUCAACCCCGGAGGGUCGGCUGAUACUGGCGGACUAGAGUACGGAAGAGGUAGCUGGAAUUCCCGGUGUAGCGGUGAAAUGCGCAGAUAUCGGGAGGAACACCAAUUGCGAAGGCAGCUCGCUGGGACGUUACUGAGGCUGAGACGCGAAAGCGUGGGGAGCAAACAGG
rnacentral:rRNA from 1 species